GUCAAAUCAAAUCAAAGUUUAUUUGUCACGUGAGCUGAAUAGAACAAGUGUAGACCAUACAGUGAAAUGCUUACUUACAGGCUCUAACCAAUAGUGCAAAAAAGGUAUGAGGAGAACAAUAGGUAAGUAAAGAAAUAAAAAUGAAAUAAAACAACAGUAAAAAGACAGUUGGAAAUAACAGUAGUGAGGCUAUAUACAGACACCGGUUAGUCAGGCUGAUUGAGGUAGUAUGUACAUGUAGAUAUGGUUAAAGUGACUAUGCAUAUAUAUGAUGAACAGAGAGUAGCAGUAGCGUAAAAGAGGGGUUGGCGGGUGGCGGGACACAUUGCAGAUUGCCCGGUUAGCCAUUUGAUUACCUGUUCAGGAGUCUUAUGGCUUGGGGGUAAAAACUGUUGAGAAGCAUUUUUGUAUAGGGCUGGGAUUAGAAUAUAGGGCUGGGGCUGGAAUAUGGGUCUGGGAUUGGAGUACAGGGCUGGGAUUGGAAUAUGGGUCUGGGAUUGGAGUAUAGGGCUGGGAUUGGAAUAUAGAGCUGGGGAAGGUAGGUAGUCUAGUGGUUAAAGCGUUGGGCCGCUAACUGAAAGGUUGCUAGAUCGAAUCCCCGAGCUGACAAGGUGAAAAUCUGUCAUUAUGCUUCUGAACAAGGCAGUUAACCCACUGUUCCUAACCACUAGCUGUCAUUGUAAAUAGGAAUUUGUUCUUAACUGACUUGCCUAAUUAAAUAAAGGUUAAAUUCAAAAAUAUAUAUGGGGCUGGGUUGGACAGUGCGUGAGUGGAUUUAGCACUGUAGCACUGUAACACUGAUGUGCAAUAGAUUAGAGCCGAUGUUGUCCCUGCAACAGCAGAAGGGCCUGCUUUAAAUCCUGGGCUUUAGAGUUAGCCACCGCAGCGUAUAAUGAAACCAGCUCCCUGAGAGGAGGGAAGUAGGUCUUGAUGAUGUCCAUUUUCUAAAUAUUGUGCACACUAAUCAGCUUUAAAACACUGCAGUUCAUCGGGUUCAACAUGGAAUUGGGAGGUUUUUCGUUCACACACACGCACAGUUCCUCUACGGUGUUGCACAGUUCAGAGCCAGCACCUGAGGGCAUUACGUUGUCAUAGAAAUAGUCUAAACAGAGAAGACUACUGUAGGUCCAAUUUAACACAGGGUUAAACUGAUGUCUAUGGACAGUGUGCUGCUGACAGCUGCUGCUGGUGAUUAGACCAUGUAGUCAUGAUGGAGGGGAUCAAAGCUGUUUAGAGAGAGGGGGAGACACACACACUCUGACCUAUAUGGUGUCCCAAAGCAGACCCCUGGAGGGAGACCAGAGGAGGUUUAUAGGGAUGUAGGAAGUGUGCAUGUGUGUUGUGCUAAAAACCCGCCCCGCCCGCCACUCAUGGGUUAUAUGGAAGCAGGGCAAGAGGAGGAUAAAUGGACUUGGGAGUGGGAGAGGGUGAAAGGGGAGAAAGAGGGUGGAUUAUGGGUUGGAGUGUAAAUGGAUCCCAUUAUCAGCCACUCAGUGAUGGUAGUACAUAGAAGUGCAGGGGAAAUGACUGUACAGCUGAUCACACUGUAUUCAUGUCUUAAUGCUGAAUGAAUGUACUUCUAUGCUGCAUGUCGGCCUAUAGGAAGUGGAGGUUUUAGGUGCUCUAGUGAUGCCUUCUAAAUUGUCUCAAAGUGGAUUAAUAAAGAUGUAUUAAAUUGUAUUGUUGUAUAUUAUAAUAUACUGUAUAGUAACAACUGAACAUAGAGCCUACAGAGUGACAGGUGGUUGGCAGGUGAGAAAGAAGGUAAGGUGGGGUCUGAAAGAUGAAGUGUGGGGGGUGACAGAUAAAAAUAACAGGUUACACAUUGUAACACACACACACACACACACCACCACCUGCACAAUCACCACCUCUUCAUCCUGGAUGCUAUCAAUUUAGCCUGAUUUAAAUAACCACAAUGCACUGGGGUUUCGGAGGAAGGGUUCCACCCGGAGGUCUUUAUCCUAGACCUGCCUCAGUGAGUGCACGUACACACACACACACACACACACACACACAGGAUUACUGUAAUCCAGGGACAUAGGGUAUUUUUAGGUCUGUGCAGCCAGAGAUCUACACUCAUGAUAGGCAUGGAACACUGAUCUAGGAAAACAUGCACCAAUGUUCUAAAAAUCAAUUAGUUGGGCCUUGGAUUGCUUUUGUGGUUGAACUGAAUAAACAUGUGUGUGCACUGUUGCAUUUCAUACAGAAUAAAAACAAAAUAAAUGCUUAAGAAAAAGGCAAUUUGCUCAUGUAUUGAGGUUCAUCUGUGUAAUUCUGUUGAGGGAGAGCUUUCUCAUCUCAUUGGCCAGAUAUACUACUGAAUUCUGCCACCUGGUGCUUGGGAUGACCACAGCGAACACAUAACCAAGACUAGAGAAACAUAGAUGAGAGAUGCCCAACCCUACCCACCUGUCAUAUACACAUAUGAAAAAAUAGGAGGGGUGUAAGUAAUAUGGUGGAAAUCCAACCAUGCCCUCUGAGUCAGAGUAGAGUGCAGCAGAGCAGACAGAGGAGCUCAGGUGAACUCAGGUAAGGAGACCCCAGGGGAGGCCUGAUGUGUCCAGGCAACACUGUAUAACACUCUGAGUGUUCUAAAGCACUGCUCUCAAAUGGAAGUCACACAGCUUACCCACAACCUCUACUUUCAACAUUAGCCCAUACACACUCUAGUAAAACAAUAAUCUGCUUUAAAGGAUCAUUAUCUGAUGGAGAGGAGAGAGAGUGGAGGGGGGAGAGACAGAGUGAGGGGCAGAACCUGAUUAGGGACCAAGUGAGCAGACAAACUCUCAG
ensembl:lncRNA